rnacentral:rRNA from 1 species
UUCUCGAAUUUGGAAGAGCUAUCUGUUUUAUUGUUAUAAAUAUUAAAAAUUAGAAGUGAAACGUUAAUAUAUCUAGUUUUCUAAGAAAAUUUAAUUUAUUUAUGUUUUAGGGGAUGAGCUUUUAAUAGGAUUAGAAGUUUUGUUAUAACUUUCUUAUUAGAAUUUAGGCUUUAAUUAUUUUAAUAAUUAUGAUUAAAUUAGUAUAAGGUUUUUAAAAGGAACUCGGCAAUAAUUUUUUACCUGUUUAUUAAAAACAUGGCCUUUUGAUUUUAAUUUAAGGUCUUGCCUGCCCACUGAGGCCGCGGUAAUUUGACCGUGCAAAGGUAGCAUAAUAAUUAGUUUUUUAAUUGAAAGCUGGAAUGAAGGGUUGGAUAAGAAAAUAACUGUCUCUUAUAUAUAGAAUUUUAUUUUUGAGUAAAAAAGCUUAAAUUUUUUUUAAAGACGAGAAGACCCUUUAGAGUUUAAUUUUGGUUGGGGUGAUUAGAAAAUUUAAUUAACUUUUGAUUAAAAGAAUAAAUUACCUUAGGGAUAACAGCGUAAUUUAUCUUAGAGUUCUAAUCGAAAGGUGAGUUUGCGACCUCGAUGUUGGAUUAAAAUUUAUUUUGGUGCAGAAGCU